rnacentral:rRNA from 1 species
CCGGAGAAUGUUAUCACGGGAGACACACGGCGGGUGCUAACGUCCGUCGUGAAGAGGGAAACAACCCAGACCGCCAGCUAAGGUCCCAAAGUCAUGGUUAAGUGGGAAACGAUGUGGGAAGGCCCAGACAGCCAGGAUGUUGGCUUAGAAGCAGCCAUCAUUUAAAGAAAGCGUAAUAGCUCACUGGUCGAGUCGGCCUGCGCGGAAGAUGUAACGGGGCUAAACCAUGCACCGAAGCUGCGGCAGCGACRCUSAKGYGUYGUUGGGUAGGGGAGCGUUCUGUAAGCCUGCGAAGGUGGCCUGUGAGGGUUGCUGGAGGUAUCAGAAGUGCGAAUGCUGACAUAAGUAACGAUAAAGCGGGUGAAAAGCCCGCUCGCCGGAAGACCAAGGGUUCCUGUCCAACGUUAAUCGGGGCAGGGUGAGUCGACCCCUAAGGCGAGGCCGAAAGGCGUAGUCGAUGGGAAACGGGUUAAUAUUCCCGUACUUGGUGUUACUGCGAAGGGGGGACGGAGAAGGCUAUGUUGGCCGGGCGACGGUUGUCCCGGUUUAAGCGUGUAGG